rnacentral:rRNA from 1 species
ACUCAAAUGAAUAGACGGGGGCCCGCACAAGCGGUGGAGCAUGUGGUUUAAUUCGACGCAACGCGAAGAACCUUACCCAGUCUUGACAUGCAUUUGACAUCUGUGGAAACACAGCUUCCCCGAAAGGGGCAUUUGCACAGGUGCUGCAUGGCUGUCGUCAGCUCGUGUCGUGAGAUGUUGGGUUAAGUCCCGCAACGAGCGCAACCCUUGUCCUUAGUUGCUACAGAUAAUGCUGAGCACUCUAGGGAGACUGCCGGUGGUAAACCGGAGGAAGGUGGGGAUGACGUCAAGUCCUCAUGGCCCUUACGACUGGGGCUACACACGUGCUACAAUGGCCGGUACAAAGGGAUGCAAUACCGCGAGGUGGAGCCAAUCCCAAAAAGCCGGUCUCAGUUCGGAUUGCAGUCUGCAACUCGACUGCAUGAAGUCGGAAUCGCUAGUAAUCGCUGAUCAGCAGGCAGCGGUGAAUACGUUCCCGGGCCUUGUACACACCGCCCGU